rnacentral:rRNA from 1 species
UACGUGAGGGGGCAAGCGGUUGUCCGGAUUUAUUGGGCGUAAAGGAGCGUGUAGGCGGCCACGACUAGGUCUGGCUGUGAAAACUCGAGGCUCAACCUCGAGCUGUCGGUGGAAACCGUGUGGCUAGAGUCCGGAAGGAGGAGAGUGGAAUUCCCGGUGUAGCGGUGAAAAUGCGCAGAUAUCGGGAAGAACACCCGUGGCGAAGGCGGCUGCACUGGACUGGUACUGACGCUGAGGCGACGAAAGCGGUGGGGAGCAAACGGGG